rnacentral:rRNA from 1 species
GGUUAAGUGAAUAAGCGUACAUGGUGGAUGCCUAGGCAAUCAGAGGCUAUGAAGGACGUACUAAUCUGCGAAAAGCGCCGGUAAGCUGAUAUGAAGCGUUAUUAGCCGGUGAUAUCCGAAUGGGGUAACCCGAUGUAAUUUAAUACAUCAUCAUUAAGUAAAUUCAUAGCUUAAUGAAGCUAACCAGGAGAACUGAAACAUCUAAGUACCCUGAGGAAAAGAAAUCAACUGAGAUUCCCUUAGUAGUGGCGAGCGAAAAGGGAGCAGCCCAGAGCUAUAAACAACUUAUGUAUCAGGAGAACAUUCUGGAAGGUAUGGUAAUAAAGGGUGAUAGCCCCGUAUCCGAAGGUAUCUUUGUUGUGGGCUCAAUGAGUAAGACGGGACACGUGGUAUCCUGUCUGAAGAUGGGGGGACCAUCCUCCAAGGCUAAAUACUCCUGAUUGACCGAUAGUGAACAAGUACCGUGAGGGAAAGGUGAAAAGAACCCCGGUUAGGGGAGUGAAAUAGAACCUGAAACCGUGUACGUACAAGCAGUAGUAGCAUUUAUUUUUUGAAUGUGACUGCGUACCUUUUGUAUAAUGGGUCAGCGACUUAUAUUCUGUAGCAAGGUUAACUGUAUAAGGGAGCCGAAGGGAAACCGAGUCUUAACUGGGCGUUAAGUUGCAGGAUAUAGACCCGAAACCCGGUGAUCUAAUUAUGAGCAAGUUGAAGAUUAGGUAAUACUAAUUGGAGGACUGAACUGACUAAUGUUGAAAAAUUAGCGGAUGACUUGUGAUUAGGGGUGAAAGGCCAAUCAAACCGGGAGAUAGCUGGUUCUCCCCGAAAGCUAUUUAGGUAGCGCCUUGUGAAUUCAUCUUUGGGGGUAGAGCACUGUUUCGGUUAGGAAUUCAUCCAAGAUUACCAAUCCGAUGCAAACUACGAAUACCGAAGAAUGUUAUCACAGGAGACACACGGCGGGUGCUAACGUCCGUCGUGAAAAGGGAAACAACCCAGACCGCCAGCUAAGGUCCCAAAGUCAUAGUUAAGUGAUAGAACGAUGUGGGAAGGCUUAGACAGCCAGGAUGUUGGCUUAGAAGCAGCAAUCAUUUAAAGAAAGCGUAAUAGCUCACUGGUCGAGUCGUCUUGCGCGGAAGAUGUAACGGGGCUAAAUUAUGCACCGAAGCUGCGGCAAUAGAUAUGAUAUAUUUGUUGGGUAGGGGAGCGUUCUGUAAGCCUGUGAAGGUGUGCUGUAAGGCAUGCUGGAGGUAUCAGAAGUGCGAAUGCUGACAUGAGUAACGAUAAAGUAAGUGAAAAACUUACUCGCUGGAAGACCAAGGUUUCCUGUUCAACGUUAAUCGUAGCAGGGUUAGUCGAUCCCUAAGGCGAGGUCGAAAGGCGUAGUCGAUGGUAAACAGGUUAAUAUUCCUGUACUAGGUAUAAUUGCGAAGUGGGGACGGAGAAAGCUAGGUUCGCCGUGCGACGGUUGUCACGGUUUAAACGUGUAGGUGGAAAAAAUAGGAAAAUCCGUUUUUUUUAACACUGAGGCGUGAUGACGAAUUACUACGGUAAUGAAGGAAUUAAUGCUCUGCUUCCAAGAAAAGCCUCUAAGCAUCAGAUUAUAUCUAAUCGUACCCCAAACCGACACAGGUGGUCAGGUAGAGAAUACUAAGGCGCUUGAGAGAACUCGGGUGAAGGAACUAGGCAAAAUAAUGCCGUAACUUCGGGAGAAGGCACACUGGUAUGUAAGUUAAAGGACAUGCUCCUUAAGCUGAGACCAGUCGCAGAUACCAGCUGGCUGCAACUGUUUAUUAAAAACACAGCACUGUGCAAACACGAAAGUGGAAGUAUACAGUGUGACGCCUGCCCGGUGCCGGAAGGUUAAUUGAUAGAGUUAUCUAUAAAAAGAGAAGCUUUUGAUCGAAGCCCCGGUAAACGGCGGCCGUAACUAUAACGGUCCUAAGGUAGCGAAAUUCCUUGUCGGGUAAGUUCCGACCUGCACGAAUGGCGUAAUGAUGGCCAGACUGUCUCCACCCGAGACUCAGUGAAAUUGAAUUCGCCGUGAAGAUGCGGUGUACCCGCGGCAAGACGGAAAGACCCCGUGAACCUUUACUAUAACUUGAUACUGAAUAUUGAACAUUAAUGUGUAGCAUAGGUGGGAGACUAUGAAGUGUAGACGCUAGUUUACAUCGAGUCGAUCUUGAAAUACCACCCUUUAAGGUUUAGUGUUCUAACUUAGAUCCGUAAUCCGGAUUGAGGACAGUGUCUGGUGGGUAGUUUGACUGGGGCGGUCUCCUCCCAAAGAGUAACGGAGGAGCACUAAGGUUAGCUAAUCACGGUCGGACAUCGUGAGUUUAGUGUAAAGGCAUAAGCUAGCUUAACUGCAAGAGCGACGGCUCGAGCAGAUGCGAAAGCAGGUCUUAGUGAUCCGGUGGUUUCUAUAUGGAAAGGCCAUCGCUCAACGGAUAAAAGGUACUCCGGGGAUAACAGGCUAAUACCGCCCAAGAGCUCAUAUCGACGGCGGUGUUUGGCACCUCGAUGUCGGCUCAUCACAUCCUGGGGCUGAAGUAGGUCCCAAGGGUAUGGCUGUU